CUUCUAGGUAAUUAUAGCAUAUUUGAUAAUUAAAAUGCCAAUUUGAUGUUAAACUCUUGUAUUAUGUCAACAGUAGACUAAACUAAGUGGUACAACUUCUACUUUAAUGAAGAGAAAGGUUAUUUUAUGUUCAUUCAGCAAACAUGUAUUGAGUAGUUACAAUACAUCAUGCAACAUGCAAAAUACCGGGAGUAGACACAUGAGUAAGAUAAAAGCUCUGACCUCACAGUCUUCCAGAAGAGAUGGACAACUAAAGCAACACUGAUAGAACAAUGUGUCAAGGACAAUAAUAGAAAUACACUCAAGGAGGAAUAGGUGUAUAACGUAAUGAACCUAACUCAGCGAAAAAAAAAAA
rnacentral:lncRNA from 1 species